CGGAAUAGCUCACUGGUCGAGUCGGCCUGCGCGGAAGAUGUAACGGGGCUAAACCAUGCACCGAAGCUGCGGCAGCGACACUAUGUGUUGUUGGGUAGGGGAGCGUUCUGUAAGCCUGUGAAGGUGUGCUGUGAGGCAUGCUGGAGGUAUCAGAAGUGCGAAUGCUGACAUAAGUAACGAUAAAGCGGGUGAAAAGCCCGCUCGCCGGAAGACCAAGGGUUCCUGUCCAACGUUAAUCGGGGCAGG
rnacentral:rRNA from 1 species